UGCUGAGGAAUAUAUUAGGCU
rnacentral:siRNA from 1 species